GGUAUUUGUAUAUAUUUCUGUCAAACUUAUGGACAAAGGCAUGAAAGACAGGUGCAAAAAUGAAACCUCUUUUGCAACCUAGAAAGCUUAUGAGUUUUGAUACAUGUAAGGCAAAGAACACG